rnacentral:lncRNA from 1 species
GGUAAAUUACAACCACCCCUGAGGUAUGGUCAAAUUUCGAAAAUCCCCCUCUUGUUUGGAUAAUUACAACCACCCCCUCAACUCAUCAAAUUUAGUGGAAUUUUCGAGAUUAUAUAGAAUAUUAUCACUUUUGUAACCGUUUUAUCUUAUUCGAACUCUACGUUUUAAAGCAAGAUGAUCAUAAUAUGUGUUUUUUGGCUUGUAUAUAUCAGAUUGUGGUGCAUUAGAAACUGUAUUUUUAUACAAAAUGAAUACAAACUAGAGCACAUUUCACACAAUCUAGAUGAUUAUGUUGAAUUUGACACCAUAAGGAUGGAGGUGUAAGAAAAAAAUAUAGAUGAAGGGGUAGAUGUAAUUAUCCAAACAAGAGAGGUUUUGUCGUAAAUUGAGCAUACCUCAGGGAGUGUUUGCAAUUUAUCCUUUGUUUAAUUAAUGUCGAUCAUUUCUUGUAUUAAUUAAGUGGAUCAUUUAAAUAUGUGAUCGGGACUCAAGAUACUUACUCCAUCAAGGUUUUCUAAGGCAAAACCCAAUUCGCCAGGCCCAAUGAGGAAGCCCACUCAGUCGAGCGAGCCGGACUCUCGAUCUAUCGAGUUGUCCAGAAUGUAUUCGUACGAAAGAGCCGAACUCCGACCUCAGGGUCCUAACACACACAUUUAAUGACUUGACGCACACAUCUAAUAUCUUGACAUAUGCAUUUUGUAUCGAUUCUGAUUCGCAGGAUUCCUAUUAUGAAACAAGUUUUUUUUUUUUUUUCAUUCUAACUUCUAAAUUUUCGAUCUCCAAACUAUUAUUUGGGAAUUUAAGUGGAAUUGAACUUCUACUUGCGACAAAUUGGAAAGCGUAAUUCCACUCCGUUUCGUCUGAUUUUCCACCCUUAUGUUUGAAUUCUACAUCCAAAUAUUGUAAACAACAUUACUCAAUUUUACAAAUAUGUUACUUAUGUACUUAUAACCUCAAAAUUAUGUCAAAGUUAUUUAUAAGUGAUAUAGUUUAAUGUAAAAUCAUUAAAAAUAUAUAUAAUUAAUUGACUUACGAAAAUAUUAAUUAUUAUUAUUAUUAAGUAAUUAUAUCUAAGUUGUACUUGUCCAAAACACAAUUUCAUAUAUGAGCUCUGUUAUAUCUAACGCUUGGUGGUUGGGCUAAGGAAUAUAGUUUAACCAAGCAAUAAAACCCUAACUCCACUUCAGCACAGCGUUUGGUUUAUCGUAUUCACUACAAAAUCCGCCCCCAAUUAAAAUCCUAGGGUUUUUAUUGCAAUUGUAUCGAAAUUGUGACUCGUUAACGUUUUUGUUAUUACGGAUUAUUAUUUGAUUCGAGCUUCAGCAGACGACUAAUUUCAAAAAGAUGGAUGCUCAGAGGGCUUUGCUCGAUGAACUCAUGGGCUCAGGUUUGCAUCAAUUCCGCCCUUUAAACCCUUAAAUUUCCCAAUCUUAAUUCGGGGGUUUCUUUUCGUUCGAGUUUGCGGUUAUUUUUUUAUAAUUUUUUUGAUUUUCAAUCCUGUUUCUGUCGUUAGAUUAUUGCUCGUUAAUUUCGCAUCUUUUUGUUGUUGUUGCCUCACAAUUUACAAUUUCAGCAGACGAUGUCUAAAUUGGCAUAUUGUAGUAGUGCAUGCAAAUUUGUUAUAAUCAUAUGAUUCUCUGUUUCAUUUGUAUACUGUGAUUUUGGAUGUUGCCGAGUGAAUGAUUUAUAAGACACUGGUUUGUUGAUAUGAUUUCCACAGCACGGAAUUUGACUGAAGAAGAAAGAAAAGGGCAUCGGGAAAUUAAAUGGGAUGAUAAGGAUGUUUGUGGAUGCUAUAUGGUUCGAUUCUGUCCCCAUGAUUUGUUUGUCAACACUCGGAGUGAUCUAGGUAAUCUCUUGAUUCCUUUCCUUCGAUUAUAUUCAUAAUUUGACAUCCCUGUUGUUGAAGGUUUAUUAAUGGGUUAUGAAAGAAUCAGGCUUUUUAAUCACGUAGUUUACUUUUAAGCAAUUUUCAAUGGCUUUCUACCUGCUAUUUGAUUUUUGAUAGUCUUUGUUGCAUUUUUUUUGCAUCAGGGGUAUGCCCAAAAAUUCAUGAUCCGAAGUUGAAGGAAAGGUAAUAAGUUCUUAAGCUGUCUUUUUACUUAAUUUUCGACUUGAAAUGGAAAGAUAAUCUUUUUGACGCAGUUUUUGUUUCUGUAUUCUUCUGAGAUUGGAAAGUUGUACCUUAUCCCGCAUUUCUGUCUUUUCGAUUAGCAUUCCUUCUAUAGAUGCCUAACUUGGGACUUGCAAUGGUUUAUGAUAACUUUUAGGCAAAAAAUUACAUGAUCCAUGAUAAUUUUGCUAUUCAAGCGCCUCAAUUUACAUGCUUUAGUAACAUUUUAAUCUCUUCAUAUUGAUUCUCCAAAAUGGCAUGUACCCCAUGUUUUAAGAGCUUCGAUGCAAGUUAGUAUUAGAAACUCUGUAGAGCUGAUUAUAAUAUAUGAUCGUAUUGUGAUGACGUUAUUUUAGAACUCCCAUUUGUUGUUCCUGUUCCCUUUCAUCAUUGCAUGCAUAUAAAGAUAAGAUUCAAUGAAGAAUAUCUUUUGGCAUAAGAUUUAUGAUGCCAUUUAUGGUAGUCAAAAUUGAUAUUUAAAGUAAAUAAAAAAAAUGAAUCGUACAUUCUUGAUUGUUAAAUCGUACAAUUUUACGUACCCUGAUAUAACGUUUUUCAACAUAUAUAAAACAUGUCGGGACAUAAAUAAAACAUGUCUCAACUUAAGUAAAACAUCCGAACAUAAGUUAAAGGGUUAAAGAACUGAUGAACUACCAUCAACUUCAAGUUGAUAGUUGAUUCCAAUCUGCAUUCUCGUUUGUGCCAUUUUGCCUUCCCUUCACCAGUAUUUUUAGAUUUCAUCAUUGAUUGUUACAUGAAGAAAAACAAUUGGGUCCGGCCGAAAAACUUCAUUCUAGUUCAGUUCCGAUCCAAGUUUAGAAUCCUUCAAAUUUUAGUAAAAUCCUUGAUUUUACCGACAUCAUUCUUAUUUUGAAGCAUUUGUGCUUUGAUUAGAAUUGUACUAGGAUUUAUUUAUGUUGCGUUAUAAAUUAUUUAUGUUAGGAUAUAUUUUGUUUAUGUGGGAACAUGUGUUACUUACUCAGGAGAAGCUUUAUAUAUGUUGAAACAUAUCAAAUUUGGCAAGCUGUUUAGAUGUUUCUGUGUUUAGUUUUGAGUAUUCCCCUACAUCUUACAUGCUGCAUCCCUCUUUCCCUUUUGUGCCAUUCUUAACUUCUAGUCUAGAUGGCCGUCAUAUAAUAUUCAGAAAGGACUUUUUUCAGUUCUUUUUUAAGCCAUUUGAUAACUUAACAGUUGUGAUCUGAGAGUACCAAGUACAUUAACUUGAGACCCUGAAAAAUCGGUAUAUUAGUAUCAUACAUAUCUAAGCUCAUUUCAAAAUUUAUUGACAUUGUGUUGUUUCUCUCUGUAGUUUUGAGGAGUCCCCCAGGCAUGAUUCAUAUGUUCCUAAGUUUGAAGCUGAAUUAUCUCAGUUCUGUGAAAGGCUGGUAAGUUUUCAUCUUCAAGCAGUAUUAAGUUAAUUUUUUCAGUUAAUAAAAAAAAUUGUCCAACAAUACACACACAAUGUUCUUUUUUCAGGUUUCAGAUUUAGAUCGAAGAGUUAGGCGUGGCCGUGAGCGCCUUGCACAAGAUGUCGAAGUUCCCCCUCCCCCUCCAAUUUCAGCUGAAAAGGCCGAGCAGUUGUCAGUGCUGGAGGAGAAGAUAAAGAACCUACUUGAGCAAGUUGAGUCUCUUGGUGAAGCAGGAAAGGUCGAUGAAGCGGAGGCACUUAUGCGGAAGGUUUGUUUUUUAUCUGUUCACUCAGUAAUGGUUUUGAAUUAUACUAAACUGUUAACUGUACCUGAGUAUGGCCGCUUUGUUUUUCAGGUGGAACUUCUUAAUAUUGAGAAGACAGCCUUAACUCAGCCACCACAGCCGGAUAAACUGUUGCUGGUUGCACAGGAGAAAAAAAUGGCACUAUGUGAAAUAUGUGGUUCGUUUUUAGUAGCGAAUGAUGCUGCAGAGAGAACUCAGUCACAUGUAACUGGGAAGCAGCAUAUGGGUUAUGGCAUGGUCCGGGAAUUUCUGGCCGAGUACAAGGUAUCGUUCAAAAAAAGUUGCAUCUUUAUUUUGAUUUGCUUUUUGGUAAUUAUUAUUAGGAUGAUAGACAAUAGAAUCAAGCUUUGUUAGGUUUCAAGAUCAUGAUAAGAAAUGGGCCCGGAUUUUUAAUCAGGCAUAUGAAGGAUUCUUAGUCCAGAACUCAACCCCUAUCAAAUUAUUUAUGAAUAUUCCAAUACAAGAACAGCGCAAUCACAUAUUAAAUCAACAUGAACAAUGUAAUUCUAAUCAAUUCAACGAGUCUUAUCAGUCACAUCGAUAUACACAAAUGGGGUUUUGAUAAUAUAUACAAUUUGCAGGAAGCUAAGGAGAAGGCAAGAGAGGAUGAAAGAUUGGCUAGGGAGAAAGAAGCCGAAGAGCGAAGGAAGCUGCGAGAAAAAGAGCUCGAGAGCAGAAACAGGAGAAGCGAUUCGGCUGACAGGGACAGGUAUCGUGAUCAUGGCAGAUCUCGCGAAAGGAAUGGUAGAGGGAGCCGAGAAUUGGGAAGAGGAGCAGAUAGGAGAAACAGCGGUUCGAGUAAUGGAAGAGAAGGCAGUAGGGAUAGAUACAGAGAACGUGAAAGAAGCAGGUCACGCUCUCCUCACAGGCAUAAUAGUCGAAGGAGGUCAUCGAGGAGUCCAAUUCGCCCCUAAAUAGAGAGAGAGAGGAAUGUGUAGAAAUAUAUCUGAAUUCUGAAGAGGUAGACACUUUCUCGUAAACCAUUAAGUUUAUAAUGUAUGUGAUUUUGGAGUCUUGAAAAAGUUGUGUUGUCAUUAAGUUGAGUAAAAGUUGGUUUUCUGUUCUCACAGCUGUAUUGAGACUACUACUACUAUACCAUCUCCUAUCACCAAUAUUAUUACAGGAGAAAAGAUUGAGGUAGGUAACUUAUCGUCUAUUCAAAGUUUUGGUUUCGACUGUUUGAAAUUUGAAUGGCUCAAAAGUCGGUUUCUCAUCCUUCUUGGUACUCUAGAAUUUGGUUUGUUCGCGCGAAUCUGUUUUCCCCUUCUCUCUUUGGUAACUCAGGUCGUGCAAAUGUGAAUUCUUGCUUGUGAUUGUUGCUUAUUUGGGGAAGUGAGUAAAUACAGAAAUAAGAUCUCAUGUAGAUAUGCCGUGAAGCUGUUGAUCGGUGGGGGUAAAUCUUUCUUACCUGAUUUGUUUUUUCAUCUCUAAUGGACAGAGAAUUUAAUCUAUGCAUGUAUCAUGACUAUAAAUAAUGAAAUUAUAGCAAGUUUAGUACCUAGUCUUACAACUGUCACAGUUAAAAUUCUAUUGUAGUUUGAAUCGGGAUUUAUGUGAAAUAGAUAUAGGUCGGAAUCAAAUAGUUUCCUUGUUCUGGUGUUGAGAGUAUGACAAAAAAUUGUCGCAUUCUUCUUCCUUUGUUCCUUGAAGCUAUUAUUCAGGUCUCGAUCAGCAGUGGAGCAUCGCACCCAGUUUUGGGAAAAUUAGAAAAGAAAAAAAAUGAAACUUACCCCGCAUAAGGGUCAUAUUUCAAGAUUGCUGGAUGAUGUUCCGGUAACUUUUCUUUUCUCGUAAUUUGAAGGUGUGGUGGUCUUGGACACAGUGGUGCAAGUAAAUUUGUUUGUAGUCGAAAAAAAAAAUAUUGAAAGAAAUAAAUCAACUCAUUAUAAUCGAUGUUGUAUGAAGUAGUUGAUUUUUUUAUAUGUUUUUUUUUGCGUUAGGAAUAUUUCUUGCAGUAAAAAUUAGGACGAGUUUGUGAUCGAUCAAAACAACUCUACUCAGUCUCUACUGUAACAUAUUGUUGGCCAUGUGUUAAUGGCGGCGCCAGUCGGAAGUUUUGGUUGCACUAUGACUGACGGUAACGAAAAUCACUCGUUUCACAAAAUUUUAAUAGCAUUGGGUUGGUUGGUUCAGUUGUUUAUUAGUUUUGUUUGGCUAAUUUAUCUAUGACGACUAAUAACAUUUUUGGAUUGACAUUAUUCGAAUUAAUUCAGGCCUACGAUAUAGUUACAACGAAAUUAUUCGAUAAAUUUAAUAUUAGUUUCGCUAAAGUUUCAUUUUGGUCAUGGAUAGAUCUACAAUUGUUCGAGUCAACAAGCAAAUCACAAUUGCCUUACGAAGAGCCUCACUUUUGCUACGGCUCCGGUGGGUUAUGUUGACCAAGCUGUUGCCUAACCAUGGUUAUUAGAUUAAUUAUCAAUUAGAAGUCAUUGGUUUAUUUUUAUUUUUUGUAAUUGUAACAUGUCGGUUUGUGAUUGGAUGUUUAGAUGGUUAAUUUUUUGAUAACUCAAUUUUCAAAAAUAUUUUUGCAUACAAAUGAAUGAAAUAUCAAAGUAGUUACCCAUUUUGAUACUCUCGUUAGAAGAUUCAUUUUUAGUCUUGAGAUAUUAAAAGGGUAGUUAGACAAGUUUUCGAAAUUAUUUUUUGGAAAAUAUGAAAACUUUAACAAAAAAAAAUUCUUUAUAGAGAACUAAAGAUAAUGAGAAUGUUAAUAUGAUUAAAAGCCAGGUUAGUCACUAGCAUGGUUAUCAUAUCGGAAAUAUAUUGUGUAUGGUUUUCUUCCAUAUACCGUAUCACAUCAUUUAUCGUAUCGUAAUAUAUUUUACUAACUAUUAAAAAUAGUACAAAAUAUAUAUCAUAUAAUAAAAAUGCAAUAAAUAUGCAAAAUAUAAUAUUUUAAAGUCAAACCAUUCAUUCAAAAUGCAUUUAAAUUAAAGUUUCAAUAUUAAAUUAUUAACUAAGACAAACGACAUAAUUUUUAAAAAUUCUAUUGUCGAUUUUAUUACAUUUGCUAAUAUGAAUUGCUUUUGAUUUAUGUGACGUUCAACAAAAUUUGUUGGUUUUGGACUCAAAAAGAAAAGAAAAUAACAAAUUUAUUGGUUUUUAUUUGGAGAAAAAAUAAAUUUAUCUAAAGCGUUUCUUUCGCUUUUCCUUAAUAAAAGAAACAAAAAAAGUUAAAAAAAUAAAUAAAAAACACACAGAUGUUACUAAAAAAUAUGUUGAAAAUCACACAAAACGCCCCAAUAUGUUGAACAACGACCAAACCACCCCUACCAGAUUGUGUUGAAAAUCGACAAAAUCAUCUCCAAAACAAGUGUCGCACAUAUCGUAUCGUUUCGCAAUAUCGAACGAUAUUUGCGGUAUUUGAUCACAAACAAUACAGGUGCCGAAUUAUAUCAUUUCUAUAGAAACUAUAUCGUAUCGUGAUAAAUAUCGAGAUAUUGACUUACACUGGUCACUAGAACAACUUAUUCUGAAUACAAAUCGAGUCACAAUUACAGGCCCAAUGUUUCCGUACUUGGCCCAAAGCAUGACUUCAGUUUAUCGUUUUGUCGCGAACCUUCUCGAAAAUCCUAAUCCCCACUCUCGCACCUUCUACACACUCUCUCUCUCUCUCUCUCUCCUCUCACUAUAAAUUCAGCUGAUCCUCACUCACCUGCAUAUCACGUGCUCUCAGUUAUCGUAAAACCCUCACAAAACCUCACUCUACUUUUCGUCUUCUCCAAGCUUUCAACCAAAAAUAUCUCAUCACCUACAAUGGCGUCUUCUCUCGCUCUGAAGAGGCUGAUCUCGUCAUCCAACCUCAUCUCCAGGUCACUCCGUCCAUCGGCCGCCGCCGCCGUGUCUCAGCCGGCUUCCUACCGCCGCUUCAACACCAACGCCGUCCGCGAGUACGAGAGCGACGACCGCGACGUCGACGUCGAUCGCCGCCCCGAUCGCCGCAUCUUCUCCCCCUUCUCCGGUACUCUUUCUCUCCUCUUCACUCACUCACUCAAUUUUUUUUUUUUUUUUUUUUAAUUUAUAAAUCUCCGCAUGUUAAUUCAGUCAGCCGUAGGGUUUGUAUCGUGCAAUUCUGCAAUAAACCUCUGUUUUUCCCCCAAUUUGUUUCGACGAUUUUGAUCCUUAACUAACACGAUUUCCGAAUCUCCGAUGAAUACGCUAAUUGAAGUGUUUUCGCUUAAUUAAUCACUUAAUUAGUCACUUAAUUAGCAAAAUACAAUUCUGAAUUCUGUGUAAAUGCAGAUGCAUUUGGUCCUUUCCCCACAAGAAGCAGCCUAAGCCAAAUUCUGAACAUGAUGGAUAAAUUCAUGGAAUCGCCUGUGACUACGAGCAUUCGCCGGAACUGGGAUGCCAGAGAAACCGCCGAAGGUCUCCAUCUGCGUAUGGAUAUGCCGGGAUUCGGCAAAGAAGAUGUGAAAGUGUCGGUGGAGCAGAACACACUGGUAAUCAGAGGCGAGGGCAAGAAGGAAUUCGAGGAGGAGGAAGGCGGCGGAAGGAGGUACACUAGCAGGAUCGAUCUGCCGGAGAAACUGUACAAGACCAGUGAGAUUAAGGCGGAGAUUAAAAACGGCGUUCUGAAAGUGUUUGUGCCCAAGAUUAAGGAAGAAGAGAGGACUGAUGUUUUCCAUGUCAAUGUUGAGUGAAUGAAUGGUUUGGUUUUUUGAAGUUGGAGCCUUUUUUUGUUUUAGAUGGUUAGUCUUUUUUAGUUGAUGAAAUGAAAGCUUUUGUUAAAUGAAGUUUGAUGUUUUUAUCUUCUAUUGAGGAUUUAAUUAAGCUAUCUUUAUCGGGUUUGUUGCGCUUACGAGAUCUUACACUUUAAUCAAUGCCAAAGGAUAGAUCCUUCGGUACAACUUAAAUCAAAUCGAGUAGCUUGGCAAUGAGCCAAGGUAAUGCGUAACCGGAAAGUCUAAUAAAAGAAAAAUUGCAAGAAUUAAACGAACUAAGAAGCAACAUUGACUUCGAGAGCGUUGAUCACUGUCAUGCUAUCAUCUUCCACCACAUCCGUCCUCGAUCCCUGAAGCUUAGAAUGUUGAAGUUCAAAGAGCCGAAAAAGCUUGACAUUCUUCCGCAUUUAGCCGCCCAAAAACCUGUCAACUCGAGCAACGCCGCAACAAAAAACUUAAUUUUCAGGCAUCCCCUAGGCGUCGCACCCCAAACACAUGGAAGCGAUUGAGUCUGGAUGUUAUGUACCCGAAUCCGAACGACGGAAUUCAAAUGUGGACAUAAUUUUAGCAAUUUCUUCAAAAUUAAUCUCUACUCGAAUAUAAUCGUUUCAAAAAUUGUCUUUCUAACUUUUUCUUUAUUCAGAUUUUUUUUUUUUUGGGUAAUGAAGGAACUUGCAGCCAACUAUAUAGGUGCAUUGGUAUACCUACAUCUCGUGUAUAAUAACCCUAUUCAGAUAAUUAACUCUAUUAAUGUGUUAACCCUAUUCAGAUAAUUAACUCUAUUAAUGUGUAUAAUUCAAGAAACCGUGGUUCCAUUUCUUGGUAAAUGGCAGGACCGGCAAUUGAGCCGAGCCUACUUUUUGGUGCGCCGGGCCGAGCUUGAGCCAUUUUAUUAAACCCGACUUAUUUAUGAGCCGAGUUUGAGCCUACUAUGGCUCAACCAGAAUAAGGCCCGACCGAUUAGGUUAAUAAUAAAAUAUAUAAUAUAUUUAUUAUUGUAAUGCUAUGACAACAUACAACUAUACAAGUUACGACCGUAUAAAAUUAUUUUAUUUUGCAAAAUAAAAUGAAUUAAGUGGUAGCAAUGGCGGUGGCGGUGACAAUAAGUAAAAUAUGGAUCAAAUGCAAAAAAUACAUCGAUAUCUAAUUGCUGAAAUUUAUCACCGAGAUUUGAGAAUAUAAAACAUUUCCAAUAACAAGAGUAACUAAUCUUUAUACUUCUUUUGGUCUUGUUUUUAAGUUUUUCUAAUAACUUGCAAAUAUCGUUUAAGUUUUGGCUUUAAUGAAGGUAAAUCUUGUUUAUUACAUGUUUUUAUAAUUUUUUUUACUCAUUACAAUUAUAUCGUAAUGGGGCCGAUAUAAACCCGAAAUUCGAAAAAAUACAUGAGCCGAGCUUGAGCCUAUAACAAUGAGACCCGAUGGUAUGUGAACGAAGUCUGAUGGUAUGUGAGCUUGAGCCGACCCAAGCUCGGCUCACAUGGCCCGAUUGCCAGCCCUAGUAAAUGGUAAUACCUUUCAACCUUGUCCCUUUAUUGAACGACCCUUCUUGGAGGGCCAUCAAGUGUUUUGAAAUUAAGUUAACAUUUGGCCGCGGUACAUCGAUCGAGGUCGUGUUUCGAUGAGAUGUUCAAUGAUCCUAACCUACAAAAGAAUUUAUUAUUUUUAUAUGGCUGCAGAUAUUUGCAAGACGAAAAUUACUAAGUUCAAGACCUUACUUCAUGCAAGACCAAAAUAUAAAUAAAUUUACUAAGAUCAAGACUGGAAAUUACAAAUAUAACCUCAAUAAUAAUUUAGAUAUUAUUAAUUUAAAUUAAGCUAAUUGCUAUUGCAAGACCAAAAAAAAAAAUAUACAAAAAAAAGAAUAAAAAAAAAAGGAAAAAAGAGAGGGAACUCACUCCCCCAACAAAACACCAACAUCUUCUUCUUCACCUUCAUUUUACACAUUUUUUUCCACAAAAAAAUCUUCCAUAUUCUCCAAAACCCUUAUCACAUAAAACCCUCAAAUCUUACUAAAACUUGAAAAGAAGGACAUUAUGGAUACACAAGACAUAAAUAUGGAGGAUUCUAAGGUCGAAGAACACAAAGAGGUAAGAAAUAUUUCACGGACAAAAAAUUCGACAUGUACAGGUCGAAAUAUCCGCUUUAUAUCGACACAGUAGUGUCGAAAUAUCCGCUUUAUAUCGACACAGUAGUGUCGAAAAUUUCAAAAUAAUUCGACACUCCUUAACUGUCGAAUUAUAUUGAAAUUUUCGACAUUAUGGUGUCGAUAUUAAGCGGAUAUUUCGACCUGUACAUGUCGAUUUUUUUGCGGAUAUUUCGACAACGGACUUCAACGGCGACGGGGAGGUGGUGGACUUCAACGGCGACGGCGACGGGGCGACGGCGACGGCGACGGGGCGACGGCGACGGCGACGGGGCGACGACGACGGGGCGACGGCGACGGGGCGACGAUGAUUUUUUUUGUUUUCUUCUUCCCUUCUUCCCUCCUCGUUUUUCAAUUCUCAAUUCAAUUUCUUUUUUCUUUCCUUUUUUAUUAAUUUUUCUUUUUUAAAUUGGUCUUGCAAAAGGAAAUUAAUAAAAUAAUUUUUUUUUUUGUUUGUAUUUUAUUAAGGUUAUUAUAGUCUUUUUAUACUGAAUUUAAUAAAAAAAAUUAAUUUGGUCUUGCCCUAAGUAAUUUUCGUCUUGCAAAUAGUCGCUGCCUUUUUAUAUAUAUAAAGAAACACGAUAUCAUAUAAAUAUAUAAUGUUGAUUUGGAGCUAAGCUGGCAGUAUGAAUACAUACUCUAUACAAUUGAAGCUGAUGACACAAUCUAACUAUAUCAUGUUAUCACAUCUUUUAGGAUAAAUAAAAGCAUAUUCUUAAAAGAUACUCCAAAAGCAUUUGUCAACAAUAUUUAAUAACAUCAUUCUUUGACAAUUGUAGCAUGUCUGUGAAUUUCUUUUUCUUCCCAAAUUAUACAAGAUCAAAUAUAUAUAUAUAUAUAUAUAUAUAUAUGUAAUCAUAGUAUUUACUUAUAUAUAAUAUUAUAUGUAAUCAUAGUGAAAUAUAUAAGUAAAUACUCCUGAUAAAAGUAUUUAUUCCUUUAUUCAUUUUUGCACUUUAAGGAAUAUUUAGGAAAUUUUCAACAAUAAAAACAUAUUAGCAUUAUUAUAGGUUUGUGGAUAUGGUUGUUCAUAACUUUAUUUAUAUAUAAUAUCCAAGUCAAAAACAUGAAUUAAAAAAAAAAAAACACCUCUGAGGGCAAAUAUGUCAAUCGAGUCAUCUAAGUCAAAUUUGAGAGGGACAAUUCUGGAAAUCCACAACUGACCCUUUCUACAAGCAUCACCUUUAAAUAGCUGAUCAAGGAACUACCUUUAUCAGACAAUUCUUUGUUCUUUAAACAAAUAAAAAAUAAAAGGUAAAUAUUUUCUUUAGCUACAACUGUACUGUUUGAUGCUUUCUUCACUUUAUAAUCUAAUUCAUGGUUAUUUGUUUUAUUUACAGAGAAACUUGCUUCACAAGCAAUUCAUGGCUUCGAUGGAAGACGAAGCCCCGGAGGCGGAAGUAAAGCCUCUCGGAAUCCGGUACAUCGAGUACAAAAGAGGUUCUCCAAUUUCUUACAAGACAUAUCAAGCCAUUGUCUUAUCGAUAACAUUUUUCGCCUACCUAUCCUACCACACCACUCGAAAAACCACGAGCAUCGUCAAGAGUGCCCUCGACCCCCAAUCAUCGAACCUAUAUACGAGACGCGCAAAUCCUGACCAUCCAUCACUGAAGAGGAAAGGCUGGAUACCUUUUAACGGUCCAGAUGGAACGGCAUUGCUCGGUGAGCUCGACGUGUCUUUCCUUUUUGUUUACGCAGUGGGAAUGUAUUUUUCGGGCCAUAUUGGAGAUAGAAUGGAUCUUCGAGUAUUCCUCACCAUAGGAAUGGUCGGGACGGGAAUUUUCACCGCUCUGUUCGGGAUCGGGUAUUGGGCAAACAUUCAUAUCUUCUAUUACUAUUUGAUAGUUCAAAUGUUUGCUGGAUUGUUCCAAUCCACCGGUUGGCCGUCGGUUAUUGCGGUUGUUGGUAAUUGGUUCGGGAAAAAGAAGAGAGGACUUAUAAUGGGCGUUUGGAACUCUCAUACAUCUUUCGGUAAUAUUAUCGGUUCUAUUGCUGCUUCGAUUCUAUUGAAGUAUGGAUGGGGUUGGUCGAUGUUUGUUCCGGGUUUGCUUAUUAUUUUGGUCGCGUUGGUGGUGUUCCUUUUGUUACCGGUGACUCCGGAAUCUGUGGACGCCGUUUUAGACGACGUUCACCCAAAGAAAACAUGGGAGGAAAUGAGUAGAGAACCUUUGAUGAAACAAAAAUCAGUGCGACACGAACCCGUCGGGUUUCUAAAGGCGUGGAAGAUUCCCGGGGUUGCCCCUUUUGCGUUGUGCCUUUUCUUCGCUAAAUUGGUGGCCUAUACAUUCUUAUACUGGCUUCCUUUCUACAUAAGCCACACAGGUACAUAUUUUUACAAGUUUUUUUAAUCAUAUAAUUGUUUAUGUGCUUCUUAUACGUUCGUAACUUCCGUCGGCAGCUAUAAACGGGAGGUACUUAACAGAUGAAGAAUCCGGAAACUUGUCGACACUAUUUGAUGUGGGAGGUGUGGUCGGAGGAAUCCUAGCUGGACACAUCUCCGACCGUUUGGACGCUAGAGCGAUAACAGCUGCAAGCUUCAUGUACUGCUCUAUACCAGCUCUCUUCUUGUACAGAAGCUAUGGCCAUAUAUCCAUGACCAUAAACAUCAUACUCAUGAUUAUAACGGGAGUAUUCGUGAACGGGCCCUACGCUCUUAUUACAACCGCAGUUUCAGCUGACCUAGGAACACAUAGCUCGUUGAAGGGCAACGCACGAGCUUUGGCAACUGUUACUGCUAUAAUUGAUGGAACUGGCUCGAUUGGAGCUGCCAUUGGACCGCUAUUAACCGGCUAUAUCUCGGCUAAGAGCUGGAGUGGAGUGUUUACUAUGCUUAUGGUUGCUGCCCUAAUAGCUGGAUUGCUUCUGACGAGGCUUGUUGUGGCUGAGGUGGCGGAGAAGAUUCGAGGGUCGGGUUCGGAAGAAGUUUCUAGAACAACCCACGAUGUACAUGAUGUAUGAUUUGAUAUUGAAUGGCGUUUUGGCUUUCCGGUUUUCGAGAUUUCUUGUUUUGUGUGUUACGGUAGAUAUUUUUGGGUUCGAGAUAAGUUGGAAAGAUUUUGUUUUGCAUUUCGAGGAGAUGUUGAUUUGGAGAUUGUGACAAGGGGAAGAUAUGGUUAUUCCCUAGUUUGUUUUGUUUCUUUUAUUACAUGUAAACAUAAGUUCUUACAUGGGACAAUAGCUGCAUUGUCCCCUAGGAAAGACCACAUGAAAUGGCUAUGCAGAUAUUUUCUGAUCUCUACUCUGUUUCUGGCACAAAAAAAUGGUGUAUAUAUAUACACACACACACACACACAUUACAAAUGCAUUUUCUUGAACACAAAUUUGAAACCAACCAUCAACAAGUAGCAUGUAUAUAUUGUAUGCACUAUGCAGUAAGGAAACAACAUGGAAUAAUUGAGAGUGGUUCUGUCACUAUCUUGUUUCUCAAGUACCGAACGAACAAUGUAUACACAAAGAUCAUCACGCUUAAAACUCGAUCAAUAUAUAUCUAGUUUAUAAUAUCAACAUGGUCAAUCUUCAGAAAGGAUCGUCUUUUACACUAAGCAGAUCAACAAUUAAUUAUCAAAAUCGUACCGUCAACAAACGGUCAGUUAAACAUGUGGCAGUCCGUCCGGUCCUCACAUUACUCCAGGUAUGCGUCUUUGAGAUAAUGAAUCCUUUUGCAAACUGUUAAAAAUCCAUCGAAGUCAAUUUUCAGAAAAUUCGAGAUGAAAGAUACACGAAUCUUAAUACACGCUGAAGCUCAUCAAGAACAGAAUAGAACUACUGCAAAUAAGCAAGUUGCUUCGUAUCUUAACUCUCCAGAUCGUAAAUAAAGAACAGAAAGAGACUAAGACUGAAAUAUAUUGCCUUACUACAAAGAAGCGUAAAAGAAUUUGUCCAUUAUUACAUCUUCAACGAGAAAAAGUAAACCAUCGAUGAACUAUGACGACUGGCGUAAGAUGGAUGAAUUUUAUUGACAAGAUUAAGCAGACAAAAACUGAACAAAGAGAGAUUUCGACGAGGGUACAAAAAUUGAAAUCCGAGACGACAUUGGAAAAGAUGCUAAUCUACACUCUCAUGGUUGAUAGCUCCAAUAAUCGCAUCUAAAAUUUACACAAAUUUCGAACUCAGUCGCACACCAAACACACAAACGAGAUCAGCAAACUCUAAAUUAAGUUAAUCGUCAGUCAAAUCCCUCAAUAAACCAGUUACACUUAGCUGAUCAAUUAUUAUAUCGAUCCAAUACAUACAAUCGAAUCUAUCUAUAUGUAUGUUAAACCAUCAAAACUUUAAGGGCAAAAAAGAAAAGAAAGAAACACUAAUGAACUACCCCGACUGCCGUAAGAUGAAUAAAUUUCGUAACAUCAAGCUGACGAAAAACGAACAAAUGCUGAUUUCGACGAGAGGAUAAAACGGAUAUCUCAGCUCCUAAUUCCACACAGAGAAGAACAUACCCUAGCUCGAAUUAAUUACCCCAAAAAAUUCAAACAAAAUUUCGAUUCUGUAUCACAUCAAACAAAAAUGAAAACCCCUCGAUAAACCACAGCUGAUCAAUUAAUUCUAUCAAUCCGAUUCAUACAAUUCAAAUCAAACUAUCUCUAUUAAACGCAUAAUACCAUAAUGAAUUUCAGGGGCAGAUUAAAAAAAAAAAAAAAAGGAGAGAAAUUUGCAGGGGGGAAAACCUGAAACUUAAUUCCGCCGAAAUUGAGAAAAGUGCUCAAACGACGUCGUCGCCAGGCUUCUUAGGCUUGCGGUACUUCUCUUCGACUUGUUUGGCGGUGAAGAGGGCUUCGUAGACGACCUUCUUCAUGUUAGGGAGGUUGUAAUUCUGAGCUAUGUAUAUUCCGCACACUGAUCCAGCUAUGAAAGGGAAGCUGCCCCUGAAUAUACCCAUAGCUAUAUAUACGGCGCGAGUUGCUGUUUGAUUCGAACUGAAACAAAACCGCCAGCUUCACCGUGAUCGUCCGCCGUGCGCGGCCGAAUGGUGUGAAAUUGAUGGGUGCUGAGAAUGCUCGGAUGGUGUUCGAUAAAAUAACCCACCCAAAGAAGCAAAGCCGGUUUUGGAAUUUCGAGUCGGCUUUUAUAUUAUAUGGUUUAUUCUUUUUCUUUUCCUUCCAAUUAAAUAGCUCUUAGUUUCAUUUUAUUUUAUUUUUUAUUUUUUUGGUCAAAUAAGCACAAGUUAGAAGGUCCAAAAAAAUAACUUAAUUUUGACAUUUUUCAAGUCCAUUACACGGUGAACGUUCUCCUUCAAAGCCGAUUAGUAGCAAAUAGCAAUGUCGAAGAAAUUUAAUGACAAGCGAGCGAUGAUUGAACGAUAGCAGUCCUCAUUUUUGUAUAGAUCAUUCGAGUUAUUUUCAAACUUUCAUAGAUAAUAUAGUUUAACGAAAAACUAUUUAAUCAUUUUAAACCCUAACUUAGUUUUAUUUAUUGAAAAUUAUAGGGAAAAAAAAUAAUGUGCAAGAACUCGUUUUCUACAAUAAGCUUCAAAUGUUAUUCUUGCCUUUUGCAAUGAGUUAACAAGUAAGGGGUCAUUAGCAAUACACCCCUCCUAUAGAUAAAAACUAGUGAUAUGCCCAUAGCAUAAAUCUUUCUUUGUGAAAACCCCCUAGAAUAUCUAAUUUCAUUUUUACCCCUCUAGUAAGUCACGUUUAUAUUUUUUAUAUUAAUCCAAUUAUUUUCAAAUCCCUAUUAAUUAGGCACCUAAUCCUGCUAAUUAGUUUUAAUUAUUUACCAUCCCUAAUAAAACUGCUACUAAAUAAAACAAAUAAAAAAAAACAGAAAACGAAAACCGCAGCAUCGUCUUCAAUAACACAGAGAUUUGGUUUUCCCCCAAAUCAAAAACCUCAAAAAAAUCAAAAUCCUCUCCUCCAAUCUGCAGUCACAUUCCAAAAUCGAAUAUGUUUGGUACAAAAUCUUCCACACACUUUUCCCAUUAAUAGUCGUUCUGCAGUAGUUGUGUUUGGUAGUCACAAACCAGUGAACUUGAGUUGCGUAGUCACAUUGGAAUCUGGUUUGGUUUCUGCAAUGAAGAAGCAAGCGUCACAGAAGCGGAAACGAAGACCCAAUCCUAAUGACAUUAUGCAUCUUGAUGCCGGUAAGUCUGUCCACCUAAUUCUUAUUUCUUUGCGAAUCAUUUUUUGUACAAACUGGAAUUUUGAAAAAAUAAUUUUUUUUGCCCCGUAGAUCCAAUUUAAUUUCACUUUAGGUGUUUUUGGAGGGUGAUUUAUGGUUGCAUAAACAUGACUAAUGGGGCAGCAUUCAUGUUACUAUCGUGACUAUAUAUGACUAUGUUACAUACACAUUGAAUUAAUGGGUGUUAUUAAUUGUUAAGUUUUGCAGUAUAAAUAUGCUCUGAUUUGAUUGUGUUAUUACAAAGUGUAACUAAAUUAGUGUAUUGUUGUAAUAUUUUUAUGUAGUCAUGUUGAUAUUAAUAUUUUUAUGUAGUCAUGUUGUUUGUGGUGUAGUCAUAUGGAGUCAUGUUGUAGACUAGUGUUUAAUCACCUCCACUGAUAUAGAUGAAUAAUGUUAACUGAGUUGGUAAAGUGUUAAUUACAAAACAAUUUCUGAUUAUGUAGUUAAAUAACCACAAUACCAUCAUGACUAUAUGUGAAUAGGCCUGAAUAUGUAGUUAUGUACUUAUGAAGCCACACAUUAUCACAUUAGCAUGGUAUGAAUUUUUAAAUUUUUCAUUGGGAAUGUGACCUGGUUUGAUCCUGUGAUAAAACCCUGUAAUUGCAAUGGUGUAAUGCUUUAGUAAUGUUCUGUAGUCAUGUUGAUAUUAAUAUUUUUAUGUAGUCAUGUUGUUUGUAGUGUAGUCAUAUGGAGUCAUGUUGUAGACUAGUGUUUAAUCACCUCCACUGAUAUAGAUGAAUAAUGUUAACUGAGUUGGUAAAGUGUUAAUUACAAAACAAUUUCUGAUUAUGUAGUUAAAUAACCACAAUACCAUCAUGACUAAAUGUGAAUAGGCCUGAAUAUGUAGUUAUGUACUUAUGAAGCCACAUUAUCACAUUAGCAUGGUAUGAAUUUUUAACUUUUUCAUUGGGAAUGUGACCUGGUUUGAUCCUGUGAUAAAACCCUGUAAUUGCAAUGGUGUAAUGCUUUAGUAAUGUUCUGUAGUCAUGUUGAUAUGAAGAUUUGUACAUGACUACGUGUUGAUGCAAAUUAGAACCAUUUGUUGUUUUAUAGUGGAUUUACCAUUGUAUAAACAAAGUUUUGGGGGCAGCAGUCAUGUUUGGUAUCCGUUCCAGUUUAACCUUUUUUGUGUGCAUUGAUGUAUCAUAUCCCAGCAAUAGUUGUUUGUGGUGUAGUCAUAUGGAGUCAUGGUGUAGUGAUUGGGAAUGUGACCUGGUUUGAUCCUGUAAUAAAACCCUGUAAUUGCAAUGGUGUAAUGCUUUAGUAAUGUUCUGUAGUCAUAUUCCAAAAUCGAAGAUAUUUGGUACAAAAUCCUCUCUUCCAAUCGGUCUUUCCAAUCGGCAUUAGCAUCGUGUGAAUUUUUAACUUUUCCAGUGGGAAAGUGAUCUGGUUUGAUCAUGUAAUAAAAUCCUGUAAUUGCAAUGGUGUAAUGCGUUAGUAAUGUUCUGUAGUCAUAUUAGUAGAAUAAUUUGUUUAUCGCUUCAUGUGUGUUACAUUACUCGAAACAUGUAAAAAAUAUUGAUGAAUAUAUGUAGUCAUGCAUAUUAUUGAUUAGUUUGUAACUGACAUAAAAUUUAAAUUUUACAGAUCAAACACGAAAAAUGGCACGUCAGGUGCUUGACCAUGGUACGUGGACCUCACAAUUCAGAGGGAGUUUGAAGUCAAUUGUUUCAUUCUUCGAGGAUGUAACACUUGAAACAGCACAUUACGAAUGCUUACGGCGUACACCCUUCUACAACUUCGUACUCCCGUUUGCAAAACACAAGAUCACAAAGGACAGUGUGAUUGGGUCUCAAAUUACAGCCCUAACAAUCCUGUGGACAUACGACAAAUCAACGCGGACAUACUCACUUGGUGGGAAGUCGCUCAGAAUCACACCCAAUGAUUGCCAACUUAUAUUUGGGAUACCUAUCGGCAUUCGCAGGAUUGAUUUUACAAAGUCAUUUAAACCGAGAGACGGCCUGGCGUUUCGACGGUUCGCAGAAGAUAGCGUGUGUUAUCAGACAGAGUUAAAAGUGAAGCUGCUUGAGUGCUUGCAGGGUGAGUCUUUGGUCGACGUUGAAGAUGUUGUCCGCCUAAUAAUUUUGCUCCUCAUGUCUACAGUUUUCUUCAACACAUCUGCCGAAAUAGUUGCAUGGUGGAUGUUCAAGUACGUUCGAGACAUCGAUCAAACGAUGGCUUACAACUGGCCAAUGGGUAUAACAGAGUUCCUUCAGAAUCAAAUACACGUUGCAAAGGCACUCGACAAAACAAAGGGUUGUAUUCCACUAAUCCUGGUUAGAAUCUUAUACUUCAAUCUUUCAUCAAAUGUUAGACACUCAUGAUUUACUAACUAAAUUUUUUUUAUUAUUCCCGUUGUUUUUUAAAACUGCAGUAUUUCAUAUGCGAGCGAACCAAACUUGUUCAGCCUGUCACAGAAAAUGCAUUCUCUCGAUUCCGGCGUUGGGUAAUACAGGAGCUGGCUAAUGUUAUAUCAACUACGGCCAUACGAGACAUUCAACCCGAGGAUGUGAAUGACCAACCUUUGGUGCCAACACAUACAGAAAGUCAAAUCCUAACCGGGCAUUUAGCCAUGGAAGAGAGCAGUGACGAUGAAGCCGAUGAUACAUAUGACGACAGUACAGACAGCGAAGAAAUAGAAGCCAUGGCUUCUUCUGCACUUCACGAAAUCGCCAACCAAAAGUGCACCGAAGGUGACUAUAGCACUGAUCCAUUCGCGCAAGAUGCCACCAAAAUCAGGGAAAGGAUUGUUGCUGAUAGUGAAGCAGAUGACGACUCUACUCCUGACAUAGAUGUCCCUAUAUCCGUAUGGCUGAAGCAACAGUAGAGAGAAAUGCAACAAGACGUAGAAAAAUUGAAAAAAGAAAUCGAGGCAUGCCAUUCUCGUGAAUCAUCCCUCCAAAAUCAGGUUACUCAGCUAACGAACGAAGCAUAUGUAUUGAAGGGUUCAAUCGCAAGACUCGAGUCACAGAAAAAAGCAUUGCAGUCACGUGUGGACAGGUACAUUUAAAUUGUCAUAUACAGUCAUAUUGCCAACAUAUAAAAUGCAAUCCCAUGUCUUUUGGAUAUUUGGGCCUUUUUAAAAAAAUACAUCUUAAAUCAUCACAUCACCCCUCCCCCCCCACCCCAUUAUCAGAUGUGCAUUUUGACAAAAUAUUCAUGUUCAAUGCUAUCUUUUUGGUCUGUAGUGUAUAUUCACAUGACUAUUUAAAUAUGUAUAGUCAUAUUGUGCUGACUUCUUAAGUAUAUUUUUGUUUGUAGUCAUAUUACAUAGUCACAAUCUUUGAUCGAUUAAUCUUUUCAACUCGCAGACUCAAUGCUAUACCUUCACCGAGCAGUCAGGAGAAGACAAAACAUGUCAUAAUACUAGCAAAGCAAGUAGACGAAGUGAAUCUGAAGCUAGCAGAUGCCAUGAAGCAUAUCAAUGCGCAAAACUCUGAACUGUCAACUUUGAAAACAGAAAACUCACGCAUGGCAGCAGAAAUCCAACGACUAGAGGAAGUCCAGGUGAGGAUGACGCUACUAGGUAACACAGCUCAGGUGCUGCUCGAUGAAAAAAGGGCACUCCAAAACAAACUUGCAAAACUUGAAGAGGAACGAGAGCUUGGAAAUAACGAUUUGCCAUCGUUUGAAAUACUGACACCAACGCAAACAUCCAUAGCCCAGAAAAAUAAGGAUCUUGACGAUUCACACGCGCAAAACAUCGAGCUACAUGUGCGUUUGGCAGAGCUCGAAGCAGCAAACAAAUCGCUCGUCCAAAGGCUAGCAAAUACGACACCAGAACAAUCUGCACAACACCAAUCCCGAAACUUAGUCAAUCCCGCCUGCGAAGAAUCCCAUCCAUUGCUGAUGGAAGAUGUGCAAUUGACAAAUAUGAGUGAGUCCGUCGCUCAGAUAUUGUUUCUAUAAGCUGAAAAAACAAUACUCAAAUCAGCAGAAAAGAAACAUAUGGCGACCAUCAAAGCAAGAGAUGAAAAAAUAUCUGAACUCGAGGCUAUAAUUGAUCAAUAUUCCAGAGCACUCGACAACCGUAAACCAGUCAUAGAAGUUCAAAAAAUAGACUUCGAAAUAUGUGAGGAAAAGAACCCGAAGAAUCCAAACUCUGCUAUAGGGAACCGUACAAGAUCCAAAAAGCCAACUGUAACACCUCGUAGCACAAAAAAAGCGCGCCGCGAUCUGAGGCACAAACACGAACUGACGUAUACUGAGAUGAGUGAUGGUGACCAAAAGAGGGUUAAUGCUCUGGCGGAUGAACUCUUGAACGGAGAGUUAGACAUUAAUCAUUUUUUUUUUUGCACUAUGUUUAUGUAGUGUAUGUUUUGUACACUCUAACCAUCUCCCUCGUGUUGACAAAUUAUUGCAGCAAAUCAAUAUGGAAGCAUGGAACUACACAUAUACUUAUAUCUGACAUAUUCCACUUGCUCAGGCUCGAACAGACAUCGAACAACGUAAACUUUUAUUACAGUACAUAGUAAAUUUUAUUUUAUAGUCACAUUAAAUGUUAUAAUAGUCACAUUAACCUUUUCAGGUCAUAGAUGGUUACUGCAAAAUACUCAUGCACCAACAAAAUAUCGGAUGUUACACGACUGCCGAAGGAAAUGAACUUGCCGGCUCAACUUUUGUGUUUAACAGCUUGCUACUGGUGCAUAUUUUACUUUCACCUGUAUUUUCAUGUUUUAAAAAUAUAAACGUAACUUAUUACCAAUUAUCGCAGACUAUGUCGCGGCAUACAAACGAUAAAACUUUUGAUAUACCCGCGGACAUCGGCAAGCACAGAUACUUAAUAUUCCCAUUGCUGUCUGUUGACAACCCUGGUACUCGUGCUGACCACUGGACAGUACUAAUAUUGGACUGCCACCUAAAACAAUGGCGAGUUUAUAACUCAUUACGCCCACGUGAUGGAAUAACAGACAAGUACUUGAAAGAUGGCUCUGAUAUGGUACGUUAUUUAUUUGUUUGGUUUUUUUCCGUAAACACUAUUCCAUAUAUAUACAUUGACAUGCUAUUCCAACACACAGAAAAAACUUGUUGAGUUCAACGCAUCUGCAUUGGGUAUAUCCGCAAUUCCACAAAAUGCACCAUUGUAUGCAGUGGCCGACUCACCCCAACAAAAGCCUGCAACAAACGAUUGUGGCAUAAUCAUCUUGUACAUCAUCCAAGAGACAUUUCUGCAGCAACAAAUGAUUAUAGAAGAGGCAGAAGAAGGUGUCGUAGAUAUGCGCAGGACCAUUGUUGAAGCAUUUUUACACUGCAAACUCUAAUAUGUUAUUCUAUUCUAUGUUACUCUUCGAUAAUUUCAUUUAACUUAUGUUAUGCUGACUUAUAUGUUGACCAGAACAUGCUUUGGUUUUAUUGUUUUUUUUUUUUUUUUUUUUGUGUUCUUUCUAUACAUUAUUAAACAGACCUGAAUGUUUAUUAUUUCCGAUGAUCUUAGUAUUGACAUUAAAUUAAAUUAUUGUUCAGACAAAUAAUAAUUUACAUAACAAUCAUAUUACUGUAGAAUGUAAACAUGACUAUGUUUAGUAAACUGUACAUGCAGUGAGAAAUAUGACAAUCAUGUAACUAUGUUGUGCAUAGUAGUGGAAUUAGCAUAUACAUCACAAUUAUUAACAUACUGUGAAGAAUAUGACUACUACGUGACUAUGCUUGUAAGUCAUUAGAACAUGAAAGUGUGAAACAACAUACAGUAUAAGGAAAAUUACUUUACAUAACCAAAACCCCAUCACGAAUGUGACUAUUAGUUGAAUACAUUUUGAAUAACAGAUGAAUGAGCAUAUAUGACUGUUAUGCGCCUACGGUGAGCAAAUAAAUAGGCUGAACAAUACAUAGGCAACAUGACUGCUAUGUGACUAUGACUGAAUAAUAAUUCUAACAAAGAUGCCUACCAGAUGACAACACUCGAAACAAUUUGAAACAUUAGUAAUGAAAUUACAUGUGGAUAUAAAACAAUCAAAAAAAUCAGAUAAAAAUAUUAAGCAAAAUAAUUUCACGUUGAAGUACUAUAUAUGUCUUCUGGUGUAACAAAAAUAAAACAGUGAAAAUGAAAUUUAUCCAUGAAGAAAAAAAACCACACUUAAUCCUUAAAAACAAUUAAAAAAUGAAAAACAAUCGAUACUGUCAACCCCCAAUAAUGGCCAUCGAACACGUCUUCUUGUUGUGGUAUCCAAUUCGGUUGCACCUUAAUCUUUCGUUUGAUCUUCUCUCCCUUCGAUGGUAUUCUUUUUGACUUAGGUCUUCCUCUACGAACAUGGUGGUCUGGGGGCCCAACAAUCGGCAUGUUAUUGUCGAUCGUAGGUUGCACAAACGGCACAACUGGGUGCGAGUAAGUCUCCCUGUACUCCUCACUGCGGUAAUAUUUGUCAACAUAUUUAUAGCCCUCGUUAGUAUUAUUGAACAACACACAAGCAGCGUGAGCACAAGGCAAUCCAGUGAUCUGCCACAUCCUGCACGAACACACUCUUUCUUUUAUGUCAACAACUGCGGUUGGGUCGCAUAGAACCUCGAACAUAUGAUCCGACGACUUCCUCGCUACCCAUACUCUACCUUCUUGAACCAAUUGAUCCACCUGCUCAUGGAAUUUUGAGCUAAGCUCCGUUGUCAUCGUCGCCCCUUCCUCAGCCCUUAUGCUAAUAUUUAUCAUGACUUCACCCCUGAUAUAAUCAAUAAAAUUCGUGAUAGGCAAAUCACGAGCACCCUUGAUCUUCGAGUUCCACGACUCAGCAGCAUUUGAGGUCAUCUCGUUAUGCCGAUCUCCGACAAAAUAAGAACAUGUCCAGUUAGCAAAGGGUAAGUCAGCAAUGAAAUUAUCUACCUUUGCACCUCCGUAUUCUUUCAACUCAAUCAAUUUCUGAUGGAACUCAAUCUUCGUCGCUGCAUAUGCACAAGCAUUGAAUUUGGCAACAAUGACCUCUCGAAAAUUAGUCGAGCAGCCUCUACACUUGUGCAGCAGAUUGUUCUGCAAGUGGACAAGGCAAAAUAUGUGUCCACAAUCAGGGAAUAUUUCCUUCACACCGCGCAAAAUUCCAUGGUUACGAUCCGAUAAGAAUGUCAGCACACGGUCUGUUCCAAUAGCAGUUUUUAAAUGUCGUAGAAAAUACGCCCAGUUGUCAUCAGUCUCCUCGUUCACUAUUCCAAAGGCGACUGGGAACAGUCCUGAGCAAUUGGAAAAUUAGAAUAAGUACUGUAGUCAUAUAUAGACAUGUUAAAACAAAACACAAGACUGGGCUUUACCGUUUUCACUGUCUUUCGCCAACGCACUUACAUGGAUUCCCCAGUGUUUCCCAGACAAAAAGGUCCCAUCAAGAGCCAACAUAGGGCGACAUGCCUUAAACCCCGACAAACUCCCUUCGAAAGCAAAAAAACACCUCUUAAACUUCAUUGAUACUGGAUCAACAUCAAGAUGGUACACGCUGCCCGGAUUGCUACGCCCAAGCUCUUCAAAAUACAAGGGCAAGUACGAGUAUGACGUCGUAGCAUCUCCAAACACAUGAUGCUUCCCCGCAGCAAGUGCCUUCCAAGCAACAAAAUAGCUUAUGUCAAUGCCGUAAUAUAGCUUCACAUUGAGCACGACGUCAUUCGGGGCCAUUUCAGGUUUGAUUCUAACAACAUUCAUAAUCAAACCCGAAAUUAAGUCAGACGUUAAUCUAUUUUUGCUCGACGAACCAAAUGAAGCACCACACGUAUGGUGCUUCUCAAAUGUCCUAAUAUAGAAGAAUCCAUUUGACUUCUGAAGCGAUGCGUGAAUCCUCCACAUGCACUUCUUUACCACCCUAUAUUUGCAUUCUGCUGUAACCCUGGUAGGCUCGUUCUUAACAUAGUUGAAUUCAAACCCAACUUCAACAGCAUAUUUCCGUAACGCAUCUCGAAAACCCACAGCACCAUUUCGAAACCCUUGCCCCACUUCCCUUAUAAGGUUUCUCCAAUUAGCGCUCAAUAGCUGUGUAUUAUCAAUUACCAAUCCAUUUGAACGAACCCCCAUGUCAUCCAUCAGAUAAUUCCCAUUUGAACGGAUCGCCAUAUCAUUCAUCAGAUAAUUCCCCCCAAAAUUCUGUGUAUUAGAUUGCGGGGCCCUCGCCGACGCUACUGCACAGACGUUGUCUUUGCGCUUCACGGUUACCUCGACACGGCCAAGACCUAGUUGUCGAAUCAACGAUUUCAUAUACAAAACCUCGUCAUUAUCGCCAAGCAUACCCUCGCCAUAUCCAUCAACACUGUAAGUCAUCGAUACAUCCCUCGCAUUCAAACUGCACCACUUAUCGGUGACAAAGCCAACGAGGUCUUCAUACACAAAAUCACCAUGACAUAUCUUCACCCCAAACGAGCCUCCAUACUUCAACACAAUCAUCAAGGUUGACGACAUGCUGUGCAGCACUACACAAGAAAAUUGAGAAUGCGACUACUAUGUGACUACGUCUGAUGAAUAAAUCUGCACUACUCUGUAAAUGCAAAUCACAUAAUAUUAUCUGAAUUCAAUUCGACCACAACAAAAACAUUGAAACUUACACUAACAUAUCAAGUAACGCAAAAAACAAAUUACAAUAAAUUACACUAGCAUAUCAAUUAACACAAAACGAACAAAUAAUUUACAGAGUAGUCACAACGUGACUCUGUGAAAAACGAAAUAAAAUUUUGAAUCAGUAACAAUCCUUUACACCAAUUAAGACGACCCAAAAAUAAACAAUAAAAUUCGGUUCUACAUACACACAUAUCUGAAUACACACACUACAGCCCAGCCCCUUUACGAAAACCAACAAAAAUAAAGCAGCAUCUCUAACCUUCAACCGCAGUUUCCCAUUUACGAAAACCAACAAGAAUAAAUCAGAAUCUCUAACCUUCAAACGCAGCUUAACUCCGGCAACGAACAAAGAAUGGUUGAACGCCGAUGAAAUCUCUAUUCUCUCUUAAUCUCGGCUGAACUCACGUAAUUAUAUCAAAGAAAAUCACGUCCGCCUAUAAUAAAGGGAAACGGUUAUGGAAAGAUAUCGUGAUUAAAUAUUUGAUUUAUUAUAAAAAACUAUUAAUAAGGGUACUUAUGUCUUAUUAUGUUUAAUUGAGGGGGUUUCACUAAUUAAGUUUGUGAUGUGGGUUUGUACAAAAGUCUUAAAAGUUAAUUGGAUUUUACUCAUAAUAUUUUCCAUUUGAGGGGGCAAGUAAAUCAAUUACAAUUAACUAUGUAUUUAUUACAUGUAAUGAAGGAUAAUUUAGUUUUUUUUUUUUUCCUUUUUUGAUAAAAAGAAAAGGAUUAAAUAGAAAGCAUCAAGAAGAGGAGUCUACAAGUGGUGUGUACCUCCAUUAUAAAUACAAGAGAUUGGGAUUACAUUAGGAGAAACAUUUCCUUCCCAAUCUUCAACUUUUGCCCACAAAGCAAGAUUGCGAGCUGCAAAAUUUGAGUUUCGAUUGACAAAUUUAAACCUCUAUGUAGGCCACAAUGUCCGAUAUAUACCUUAACUCGAAUGCUAUCAAUUAAGACCUGAAUAAUCCAAUCAACAAUGCAGUUGAAGUCCUGGAUGAACGAGAUUGAGUUCAUCUUAGUUUAGUCUAUAAGAAUGCAAGCUUCCAAAAUGGCAAUAGUUUAAGCAACAAUUGGCUCAAGGCACAAUUUCUUCGAGGAGAAGGCAUGUAGGAUGGAAAGACCUAAGUAUUUUUUAAUAUAGAAAUAUCUAAAAAAUUGGAGUCGGAAAGAACGAAGGAUUUCAAAGAAGAAAUUUCGAAAAAAAUAAAAAAAAAAUGAAAGAAGAUUUUAUUUAUGAGAAAGAGUCGUUGCUCCGAUCCUCGAGAAGGAGAAGAUUAAUAACCUCUCUAAGAAGUUGGAAUUGUUAAUAAGUCAAUUUCCUGCAAUAUCUUCGGGCAAGUCACAUAAUACUCAGGUAAGGUAAAAAAUUAUGACAUUAACUCCAAAAAUUUAAAGUAUAUUAACAUAAUAUAAAUGUGUAUAGAUUCAAGAUGCAUCUGCAUCUGCAUCUGCAUCUACCUUGCGAGGACCAACUUCCCGAGGAAUUAGAAAUAUUUCUUAAUUGGGAUGAACAACAAGUACUAUUUUUUUACUUUACAUUUACCUUUACUUGAGUUAUGUCAUGAGUACUAUUACGAUGACGUGAUGUGCUUGUAUAUACACUAUUGUAUAUUUAUGCUAUCGAAAAUGUGAUUUUUUUAAAUUAAAUUAUAGAUGGAGAAUGUCGAUCGAAGACCUAUGAAUCAAAAGAGUGUUAGAAUUUCUUCAGCCUGUUAGGGUAUGAUUUUUCAUUUAAAGGUCGCUGUGAGUAUUUAUGAAUAACUAUAAAUAAAAAUUAAAUUAUUCAAAUUUAAUUCGAGGACUACGUUUUUGUUUUUCUAGAUUGGAAGUCGUGUUCACGUAUAUUUUUGUGUAAUACAAAAACAAGUUGUUGCAGAAGGUGUUUGUAUUUCUGUUAUUAAUGAUGAAGAGGGAGUUAAAGAUUCAUCGGUGAAAAUGUAUGUAGCAAAGAUAUUGAUACGCAUUGAAAAAUUGCUUAAAUCUCAUGUCGGUGCUAAGACAAUUGGAGAAGUUCUUUAAUUUACAAGUGUAUUGAAUGGGAGCAUGUAAAUGUAUGUCCGAGAUUGCCAUCCUGUUUUCUUCCAGCAUUCAAAGUAAUUUAAUAAUUAGUUGUAUUCAAUUACGAUCGAAUGUUUUAUCAGAAUUUCGUAAUGUAGUAGUAUUAUCGGAAUUUGGUUUAUGGGAUUUAUGGAGAAAAAAAAAUUACGAUCGAUGUUUUAUUCUUUAGUUAGUUGCACGUUUUCGUUUCAGAUUAAUUUAAUGUUUCACAAAUCUGGUUUUAGUAAAUAAUAGAUAUAAUUAUUUGCUACCAUAUAAAGGUUGUAGUAAGAGGAGUCUAAAUUUGAAAUAGGUACAUUUAUUUGCUACAUGAUCUUAUAUCUUGUAGUAAAUAAUAUGCAUGUUUUUGCUAUGGUAUAAUGUCGUACCAAAUAAUCAAUUGGGCGUUAGAAGGAAGACGAGAACCCUGUACCAAAUAAAUGAUUUUUUUUUACAUAUUUACGACAAAAAAAAAACCGUAGUAAAUGCUUGAAAAAAUCGUAGUAAAUACUAUUUGCUACUGCAGGUUACCGUGGUAAAGUAUUUGUCACGCCUAUAUUUGUUACGGAGAAAUUUUUGUGGUAAAAUCGUAGCAAAAAGGCUUUUACUACGAAUUUCGGACAAUUUGCUACAAAUUGAACUCGUAACAAGAAGUGUUUUUUCUUACUUCUACUAGUGGUCACAUGUAACGAUUGUUUUGUGAGCAAAGGAUGCUAAAAUUGUUCUCAUGAAAAUAUUAGAUUGUUAAAACUAUAUCCGACUUUGUUAACAUGGGAUCGAACGGCAUACUGUUUCAGCUAGUGAUCGAAACUAGUCUAAAUUGUCUCAAUUGUUUUGAAUCAGUUAAAAAAUAUAUAGUAGUUUUGGAGCUAGCUAGUAAGAAUCUUAUGCUGCAAUGAGCAACAUGAAUUCUUACCUAUGCUUUUUAUCUUGAAUUCUUGAUCCCUGAAAUAUCUGACAAGAAAUCGAUUCAUUGUUGCAGUAUAUUCCCUACCUGUGUCUGAAACAGUUCAACAACUUCGUCGUUGUUUUUUUCUUUCUUUCUUUUUUUUUUCUGUAAGCUGGAAAAGAAAUGCCAUAUUCGUAAUUUCCUUUAAGUGGUACAUGAGUUUGUCGAUAAGUUUGUUUCCUAAGUUCGUUAAUUAAAUGCUUGAUUACUUUUGAUCAUGUUUAAUUAGUCGUUCGUCGUCGUCGGUGCUGGGGGUGCUGCUUCGUUGUUCAAUUAGAAAUAAAUCAUGAUUGUUAUUCGGAUAUGCGCCGUCCAGAUUAAACAUCUUCAAUGGUAACGAAAUAUAAAUAAUGUACUUGUAUAUUUUUUCGUAUCAGAACUUGGUUUUCGACGUGCCCGUAAAUUAAAUUAAAUAACUACUUAGGUAAAUAAAUAAAUAAAUAAAUGAAUUUCACAUAAAAUGAAUGAUGUUCUUUUACAAUGUCAGUUCAUUGUUAUUAGGGUAUAUUACACUUACACCCUUGAAAUAUGCUAAAAUAAUUUUAAGGUCCCUGUAAUAUUGGUAAUUACAGUCACACUCUGAAAUAAUUACCGGAAUCAAGAUUUCAUGUUCUGGAGACCAAUAUGCACUAUAUUUGUUUCCCGUAGGGCCGUUAACGCUAGUAUAGACGAGAAUUUAUGAAUCUUAUAUAAAAUAAUAUCGAUUUAAGAAAUGUUAGGAGAGUCAUGUCACCCCUAGCUCUGUGUUGUCUCCACUACUGCUUGAAACUAAUAGUUCGUUAUAACCCUAACGAAAUAACUUAUCCAAUGCAUUAUUCUGUUAAAAUUUCUAACAAUGUUUCAGGACUAAUUGUAAUUACCGAUACUACAAGAAUCUUAGAAUUAUUUUAGCAUGUCUCAGUGGUGUAGGUGUAAUUUACCCUUGUUAUUAAAUUUACUAGACUAGUCGAUACGGCACAUUACCAUCGAGUCGAGUCAAUAUUUCAGACUUUUUUUUAUCUUUUGUAAAUUUUAUUGCUUUGUAUUCUGUCUUAGAUUAAUAUUAGCAUUCCAAUGCCAACAACUCCAUUAAAUUCAAAUCUUCAUAUAUUUUUUAAACAUUAAAUUAAGGAGGUAAUUACUAUUAGCAGCAAACAUGGAGAGACACAUAUAUAGGAAGUUAAUCAUCCUAGAAACAUACAAAUUUUUUUUUUUCCUUUAUUUUUUGUUAAUCUGACUUUUCUUGUUUAUGUUUUAGUCAAAAGCUAAGAGACUUAAUUUUAGGGUAAAUGUUUGGAGCAUGUCUGUAAAUCACCAGACAUAUUGCAAUAACCUUUUGUUUUUGAAGCAUACUGUGGAAGUAGUCAAAAACAUAAAAUAAUAUUAAUUAAUAUUCCUACCACAAAUUAAAACGUUAAGUAAUAUUCUUACUGAUGGGUUUAGGGAUGGCAAAUUGGCAAUUUUUCCCGCUCCAAUGGAUUCCUGCCCCACCCUUGAUCCGAAAUUUCUGAGUAUUACCCGCCCCGAAAAAAUAUGGGAUGGUAUGGGAAUUGACAAAAGAAUUUGAUCGGGUAUGAGAUGGGGGGCAGGUUUUGGAAAGUUAGGCUAACAAGUAUAUGCAUUACGGCCAACGAGAGCUCGUGACAUUGCACCCGGGUUCUCGGUCAACUCUCGAGCUCGACUCUUGAUAGCCGAGCUACUAUUCUUGAUUGAUGAUCCCGCAUCAACUACCAAUUUUUUUAAAGAACAAGCUAUAAUUAUAUAUGACGGAUUUUUCCGUCAGUAAUUUUGCUAAAUCCAUUUAGAAUACAUUUAUUUACUACGGUUUUAUAACCGUCGGGUAAACAAUGCGUCGUAUAAACACUAAAAUGUUGUAGUGUAAGAAAGUUACUAAUCUUGAAAAACAAUUUGUUCUUACAUUUGUCAAAUUUUAUAAAAAUCACUUAACUUUCAUACAUUAACCAUAUUGUAUGAGCUAGAAUACAUGCAAAAUAUAUGUAGUAUUAAUUGAAUGAAAAUAUAUGUAGUAAUUUAUUGAAAUUACCAAAUUACCCUACUCCCGCACACGUGCCUCCCAUGAAUUGGUGAAAUAAUAUCUGAAAUUUCAUGAACAAAUAGUAAAAGUUGGAAGAUUCAAGAAGUAGAAGACAAUAAGCAGUAGAUGGACUAAACUCAGAUACCAAUGCAUAUAGAUAUCUGAUCCAUCAAACCAAAAUCAAGGAACCUAUUUUUUUUUUUGUUUUUUAAAUAACUUUUUUUUUCAUUACAAAUUACAAGGUAUCUGUUUACUUUUUAUUUUUCCCCCCCAUUUUGUGAUUGUUACUUCCAAUGUGAACCCUCUAUUUUUUUUUACCUAAAAUCCUGGAGAUAAAAGUGUUUAAGCUAAAAUUCUAGGUUUGAAAUUCCUAAAACAACUUUAAAAGUUUUUCUCUUUUUUCGGACAUAAUUUGACUGCUGCAGUAAAAAAAAUUUGACUGAUAAAAUAAAAAUUAUCUUCAUUAAAAAACAAACAAACAUCAUAUUAUAUUUCAAUUCUUCUUCAACAAUUCAUUUUUUCAACAACUUUAUAUAUGAUUUGAUCACUACCCUGUAUUUUGUCUCAUCUCAAAUUAUAAACAAACAUUACUUUCAUUCUCAAAAUUUAUUUCCUCAAAACAUAUUUCCAUAGAAUAAAAUGAAAAUUAACUUCCUAAACAUAUUUCCAUAGAAUAAAAUGAAAAAUAACUUCCUAAACAUAGUUCGAUAACUUCAGAAGACAACCUGUUAUAAUUACCUUAAUUAAUAAGUAAUUGUGUAAUUUGACUUCCGUAGUACUCUAAGGCUCCGUUUGGUUGGUAAGAUAAGCCGUGAUUAACUAAAUAAUUGGACUUAAUUUGAUGUUUGGUAUCCUCAAUAAAUUGCCGGGUCGACCCGCCAAAAUUAUAUAAUCGAUCAUGACUUAUUUUGCCUUCUAGUGAGUUAUUUAUGUUGGACGUCGCAAGCUCCAUUAAAAUAAUUGGAUUUCAUUAAAUUAUUUAAUCUUAUCUUGUCAACCAAACGGGACCUAAACGUACAACCUAUUACCAUUAAGCAAUUGUAUAUCGACUAAAUUCUAUACAAGAAAGCAAACUGAGCCAUGAUAAUAUAAUUCUGUUAGCAUUGCCAUGUGUAUACAAGUUGUAACAAUUGUCCCACUACGAUCAUUUCAAGUUUCCGGUGGCCGAAGCCGGAAGCACUAAAAGAAUUCCGAAAGGGGCCGAUAAUGCUACCACCUCCGAACACUUUUAGAUGUUGGGUUGCCAAUUGCCAUGGCCUCUCUUAUUCCUAUGCAUGCUAUGCUGGCUCCGCUACUGAAUUGUCUCGAUGAAUAAUGUAAUAAUAUUAAAAUGAACUAAUAGUUGUGAUGUAGUUCUAUUAUAUACACGUACGAUCAAGUGUGCGUGUGUGGGUGGGGUUUGGUUUGGGAGGCCCACACAUAUAUAUAUAUAUAUAUGCAUGACACAGUAGUCAAAUAUGCUUUGGGUGAAAAAAAAAAGAAAAAAAAGAGAACAGUGUUGAUAGAGACCUGACAAAACAGUUAGAUAAGGUGAAGUGUUUAACUUAAAAUUUACUCAAUCAUAUGUCUUGUCAAAACACACACACACACACUGCAUGCUUUUUUCUUCAUGUUACCAGACUAUGUACCCUAUAACCUACCUCUCUAGCUUACUACAGUUUCUUUUGUCCCUUCCUACACCAAAUUCUUGUUUCAAACUAACACAAUCUUGGUAUAUAUGUAUAUUGUUUUUUUUAUUUUUCUUUAUUUCUUUUUUCCUUCUUUGGAUCUUUUUCUUGCAAUAUAUUCUAUAAUUAGUUAAUUGCUAUUCUUGCCAUUUUUGCAGAAGUUUAGGUUGUAUCAGCUUUUAAUAUAAAUAUUUUUAUUUCAUUAUCUGUCAUUUUAUUCCAAUUAUGUAUAUUUACUGCUCCUAAAUGAUUAUUUUUAAAAUUUAAAUUCAUUAAAUGUAUCUUUUAUACAUAGAAUAAAGAAACAUUAGGUUAACUCUAAAAACACCCUAAUGACAUUUUAUCUGCUAAUGCUCUAAAUAUAAAAUCAUUAAAAUGUACAAAAUUCAAACCAAAUUGUAUAGAAUCCUUUCAACAUUAAUCUCCUAUUUUUCUGUCAUACAUCUCUAAUUAAUUUACACGUUUUUUCUUUUUUACUUUUCAAAGAUUACACAACUAUAUUUUAUAUAUUUUAUAUUCUAUUCAAUUAUUUAUUGAUAUAAUUGUUAUUGUCAUAUAUGUAAUUAAUAAAUAUUUUGUUUUAACUUUUCAAACAAUAAUUGUAAAUCCCUAGGCCAACAAAAGCUAUUUGAACCGACCUUUUAGCUUAAAAGCUUGAUCUUUAACUAUAAUUAACAGACCAGUUGUAGAAUCAAGACUGUCUAAUCAUAGACAACUCAUCAUAUAUAUAUAGUUCAUUCCAGUCACAACAGAAAAUACACAUCUUUAAAUUUCUCAGAAUAUAUAUAUAAACAGUCCAUAAUAUUUCUAUAAAUUAAUUAAAUUAAAUCAUCAUAUAUCAAUUAAUUAUUAUGUGUGCCAAAACCAUAUUCGUGAUCAUAUUGUUUCUUUGCAGCUUGUCUAUGCAUGCAUGUAAUUCUCGCCUUUUAGCUGAUAUAUUGCACAAGAAGCUUCACCACCCUCACAAGGUAAUUAUUCAAUUUCAUCUCUCUAUAUUUAAUUAUAGUCUUAAUACAUAUUUAAUUACAAGUAUAUAUAUGUAACUAUAUGUAAUAAGCUGAGAAAUUAAAUACUGGGUUCUUGUCGUUGUUCCGAAUUUAUAAUAAGCAGAUAGAGGAGACGAAGCUCGACUCCAGCACGAAAAUUUCUGUGAGUUCGAAUGGGGAUGAAAGUGAUCAAGAAGAUGUUUGCAAGAAAAAUAAAGAUGGAUUAAUUAAUAUUGAAGGAACAAAGUCAGGUGUAAUUACUCAUCAUCAUCAAUCCAUUUAUUCCGGGUUUUUUUCCGAUUAUUCUCGACCAAUCACCAGAUCUCCUACUCAUAACUGAACAUAUAGAUAUACAUACAUACAAUGUUUUGAGUUUCAGCUGAUGAUUUAGUUCUUUAUAUAAUCAUUUGUGUCUUAAAUAUUAUUAUUAUUAUUUUGUUUUUGUUAUUUCUUCCAUAAAUUAAAAUUAGUUGGCAUUAAUUAACGUGCCUUACACUCCACACACACACUCACAAAACCCUACAUUGGAAGAUGUUACACUAAUUACCGGUUUUUAGCCAAGAACUACUCGUUUAACUCAUGAUAUAUAUAUUACAUUUUUUUUCGAUAUAUAUAUAUAUAUAUAUAUAUAUAUAUAUAUAUAUAUAUAUAUAUAUAUAUAUAUAUAUAUAUAUAUAUAUAUAUAUAUAUAUAUAUAUAUAUAUAUAUAUAUAUAUAUAUAUAAAUUAUAUAUAUAUAUAUAUAUAUAUAUGUAUAUAUAUAGAGAGAGAUGUUUGAACUACUUAUACAAAUGAGAAAUGCAGGAAGUAGUGAGGAUUGUAAGUCUUCUCUUCGCAAGGCUUUGCUGCAUGCAACAAAAUCUGCAGAGGUAAAUAAUUAAGAAACUUUAUUCUUUUUUAAGCCUUUUAAUUUGUCCCCAAACAAAUUAAAACACAUAUAUACUAUAUGAAAUAAUAAGGGAACAUUAUAUUAAUUAAGGAUUUAGGAAAAUUAUAUAUUUUUAAAAAAAAUUAUAAAGUUUUUAAUAUAUGUGAAAUGUUAUAAUAUAAAUUAAGGAUUUACUAGUUUUAAAAGAAAAUAUGCGAGGUCAUAUAAGAUAUAGUAGAAUUUCGAUAAAUUAAUAACCUCGUUUAAAUAGUAUGUUUUCUCGGUCCAGACUCGAAGGCAACGUGCUAAAAAAUGUUUCGUUAAUUAAUAUUUUACUAAAUUAAUAGAAUUUGGCUGGUAAUAACUAUAUUAGUUUAUAGAGGUUUCAUUGUAUUACGAUUGAUAUUUACAAACAUGAAAGAAAAAGAGGAGUUCAAUAAUAAGAGCCAUUAAAUGAAAAAUAUAAAUUAAAGAAUAGCAUUAUAUAUUAAUAAUGAAAUGUAAAAUAAUAAAUUAAUAAUAUUCAUUAAUUAAACACUCAAAAUAACUUCGAAUGUUGUGUAACUGGCAUCCUAUGGAAUUAAUUAGGGUGAUAAUUAUUUAUGUAGUGUGGAUGGUUAGUGAUUUGUGUUUUUUUUAGGACUUAGUUUUGCAUAACUUUUUUUUUAAGCAAAAUAUUAAAUUGAAGAUUUUGAAUAAUUAUUCAAUCCUAAAUGGUGUAUUUCACCGGGUGUAGCAUCAAAUAAACCGUAACGUAAUUGUGUUAUUUACUUUGUUAUGAUUAGAAUUAGAAUUUUUCCUAUAACAUCAUAAUAUCAUAUACAUCUAGGAACUAAUAAAAUAAUUAACUUCAUCUAUUAUAUAUAGAAACGGGAAAAAAAAAAUUAUAUGUCAAUUAUUUUGGUGGGGCAAAACAUGGUUUAUUUAGAAAUGUCAAAAAAAUGUAUAUUGAGUAGGUGAAAAGUAAAAUUAUAUUGGUGGGCCAAAACAUUUUCAUCAAUUUAUUAACUGUUAAUUUAUUAAUUAUAACCAAUAUAUUAUUAAAUGUAGGGUUCAAGAUGGACACAUCAAAGUAUUAGAGAAAAGGAUUUAAAUUCCUCAAUUUUCAAGGAAGAAUAUCUUUCAGAAACAGACUACCAGCCACCCCAUCGCAAAUCACCCAUUCACAACAAAUGAUUUUUAAUUUUAUUUUACACAAUAAUUAUCAUCAUCAUUAUUUAAUUUCUUAUAAGAUAUAAUAUAUGAUAAAUAUCAAGAGUGUUGAUUAUGUUGCUAUUGUAAUAAUCGAUAUAUAUACGUGAAGGUUUUGUAAUUGAGAACAAUAUAUAAUAAAUCAUUAUAUCAUGUAUGAUUAAAUUUGUUUAAAUUUACUAAUUCCAAAGGAAAAAAAAAAAUCGAACUUUUUUCGAGAGGGGUAUAUGCUAUCCGAUCCAUUCGGUUUACACCCCUAAUAUGGCAACAAUACUAAUUAUUAAUAUGUUCAAUUGACAACAAUAAUUUAAUUUAGACUCGCAAUAAAAAUAAAAUCUUAUAGUUAUAGAUGUUAUUAUUCAAUAAAAUUAUUAGUGAGCCUCCUCAUGCGAUUAGUUUUGUAAACAUAUAUAUGUAAAGGAAACAAAAAGUAUGAUUGAAUUAUUAUUAGUUAUUACAUUAGGGACGUUAUAGAUAAAUCAUAUUAAGUACUAGAUUAAUAAUUUUAAUAUUAGAUCUAAUACAAGGAAAGAAACAUAGUACUGAAUAAAAAGUCUAAUCCGCUAUUGGUGGGGCAGCAAUGGCAGACGCGGGCUAGCUUGGAUCUCAUGGAAUGAGAUGUGCAAAGCCAAAAAAAGAUGGUGAUUUCGGUUUCAGAGAUUUGCAGCGGUUCAAUAUGGCGUUACUUGCGAAACAAGCUUGGCGGAUUUUGACCCAACCUAGCCUGUUGCUCUCACAGAUACUACAGGCACGGUACUUCCCUAAUGGCGACCUGUUUACGGUGGACCUUGGUCAUAGGCCGUCGGCGACGUGGAGAAGUAUUUGGUUAGCUAGAGCAGCCUUACAGUUAGGCCUUCGAAGGAGUAUCGGAGAUGGAGCAACCACAUCCAUAUGGGCGGACCCUUGGCUCGCAGAUGAUGGGUGCCGGAAUAUUCUUACAAAGCGUCCAACCUUCUCCUCUUUCCCGAACAAGUUCGCCGAUCUCAUUGACCCCAUGACUAGAACAUGGGAUGUCGGCUUACUUGAUACAUGGUUUUGGUCAAUCGAUAAAGAACGCAUCUUGGCAGUUCCGUUAGGCAAUUCUUGGGUUGAAGAUAGGUGGAUAUGGGGGGUAUUUGCACUCGGCUCCCCUGUGAAAUGUCUAAUUGGCAAAAAAACCCCUCGGAUAAAACAAUUAGCAAAUACCCCCCUAUGAAAGGAAGUCAAUGACAAUAAGGACCCUACGAGCGAAUCGUGGGAUACACUCGCGGUUCAUGCAGCUGGGCGUGCGUUUUAGGACAUUUUAGGACAGGAAAAGACAUAAAAACCCUUUGGUAGAGGAAAAAAACCCAGAUUGAUUCAAUUAUAAAUAAUCUAAAGUUAUAGGACUAAAUUGUAAUUAUCAAAUUGUGGGCUGAAAUCGUCUUCCCCAAAAUCCAAAUUUCUUCUUCGCCAUUGAAAUCACCACCACCAAAUUCCUCACAUUUCAAAUCUUUUUCACAUCUCCUGAUUAUUAUUAACGAGUAGAAAAAAAAAGAAAAAAAAAUUAUCCAGCAACAAAACAAUAUGAGAGAAACAGAAGCCACAGAACUUCUCAAUCCAAACCUACUCCCAAAUCAUCUCCCUCUGCCAAACCCGCAUCGCCGCCAAAAACCCAGAUGGGCCCCACCUCAAGAAGCUCCUCUGCCUCUCCUUCUCCAACCGGGUCGAAGCCCGGGCCCGCCUGUCGGACCACACCUUAGCACUGACAGACUGCGAGGAGGCCCUCAGAAUCGACGAUUCCCAUUUCAAAACCCUCGUUUGCAAGGGUAAGAUUUUGUUGAGUCUGAACAGGUACAGCGCCGCCCUGUGCUGCUUCAACGCCGCCAAUCUCGGCCCCCAGGCGACCGAGAAUUCCGAUCUGGUAAAUGGGUUCUUGGAAAAAUGCAAGAGGCUCGAGUUUCUGUCGAGAACCGGCGCAUUCGAUAUUUCUGAGUGGGUGUUGAGUGGGUUUCGUGGGAAAUCGCCCGAAUUAGCAGAGUACAUCGGCGCAUUGGAUAUCAAGAAAUCAGAAAUCAGUGGUCGCGGACUGUUUGCCACGAAAAAUGUUGAAAGCGGGACCCUGCUUUUCGUCACUAAAGCCGUCGCUGUUGAUCGGGCUAGGUGCUCGACGGUCCAGAAGGCGGCGGUGGUGCUAGACGGGCGAGAAGGCGGCGGUGAUGCCGAAGUUUUUCCGGGCUGGGAGGUGGGCGGCGGAGUGAAACGAAGAAGAAGAUCUGAAAAAAUCUUCAAUUUUUGUCCCUUAUUGCAAUUUUGGAAAUUUUAAAAUUUACAAUUUGGUCCUAUAAAUUAUAGUUAUUUAUAAUUUGACCACUCAUCAAAGAAAUAAUUUUUGCUUUAUUUUUUAUUAAGGACAAUUCUGUCAUUUCACGUAAGUCAACGAGCCAGUGCACACAAAGGGGCGGUGGGCUGACUAAAACACAACAUAGGGGGUUAUAUGCUAAUUUUUUUUUCCGGGGGGGUUUUUUGCUUCCGAGAAAUAACACAGGGGGUCUAUGCAAUUAACUCGUGGAUAUGGAGAUGGUCAAAUAAUGGACGUUUCUCGGUGAAAUCGUGCUACCAUAGCUUAUUCUCCAAUAGUAUCAACAUGCAGCCCAGCCGGUUGAGGGAUAGGGAAUCGACAAGUGGGACCACUGAGCUAAAUUGGAAAUUUUUGUGGAACUUAUCGAUCCUUCCGAAGAUAAGGAUUUUUAUUUGGCGCUUCUGCUGGGAUGUCUUGCCGACCAAAGUUGCUCUUUUCCGUCGAAAAAUUGCUACUGACCCAUAUUGUCCUAGAUGUGGGGUUGAAAUUGAAACGAGUUUAUACUCAAUUAUUUUUUGUCGGAGAGUGGUCGAGCUUUGGAAACAGCCUCCACUCAGGUUAACAAAUUUUACCGGAAUCGCAUCGGUGUGGGGCUGGAUUGAAUUUCUGCUCCAGCACCUUGACAUGACAACUCUCCCAUUGGCGGUGACAGUGAUGUGGAAGCUCUAGCAAUGACGGAAUGAUGAGUUGCAUGGUGAACCUGAGUCUUCUUCUAGUGAGAUUGUACAGUGGUGUUCGAGCUAUCUUUUGACGUACCAACAAGGGUAGAUUAAAGUUCCUCCAAUGAAGACACCUAUGCAUCCGGCGAAUUGGAAUCCUCCGAGACCGGGAAUUGUGAAAAUUAACUUUGAUGCAGCUUUCCCCAAGAGCAAAAGCUACUAUGUCACAUCAAACGUUGCUAGGGACCAUCGAGGAAGAUGCCUAUGGUGGAGUGUGAAUCGGAUUACCGGGAGACCAAGGGUGAUUGACGGAGAGGCGCAUGCAGCCCUGCAUGCUCUUUCAAAGGCAAAGGAAAUGGGGUAUGAAUCCAUAAUGCUGGAAGGUGACAACUUACGAGUGAUCAGCACCCUUCAGGAUAAUCUAUCGUCCGAUUCUUCUUAUGGUGCUUUAAUUGAAGAAAGUCUUAUUCUUUCUAGAGAAUUUGAUCUCUGUACUUUUACUUUUGUAAAGCGUUCGGGGAAUCUUGUUGCCCACGCUAUUGCGAAUAACUAUGAUUCUGGUUAUUUUGAAGGCCAAACUUUGCCUUUAGAUUUGGCUAAUAUAGCCUAAUAAUAUUCUUUAGGUUUUUCUCAAAAAAAAGAAAAAAAAAUUCUAAUUAUCCAUUAGGGGUUUAGUUUUCACUAUAGUUUAAUUAAAAACAUAAAUUAAUACGAUUUGUGCAACCGAACAUUAUCUAAAUAAAUGUAUUUAAUGGGCUCUUUUGUAGUCUGUGUAGCGUACAAUUAUUUUGCACGCAGAUGGGCCGAACCACAUUGGGCUUCAGUAAGUUAGAAGACUUUUUUUUUUCUUCUUUUUUUAUUAUUAUCAUAAAAUAUUAAAAUGUAAUACUCCAUCGGUUUUAUAAGGUGGUGUUUGCUUUUAAAAAUAGAUUAUGAGUUUUUUUCUUCAUAUAAUUUGUUUUUACAUGUUUGUGAAACAAGUUUUUGUUUUUUCUUCUCUUAAAAUUAGUUGCUUUAAGCUAUAAUUUUAAAAGCACCAUUGUACUUGUUUAUUCUAUUUUAAUUGAUUUUCCAGUUAAUUUGCAAACACCCCAAACUUUUAGAAAUAAUCACUUAAUCCCAAUUUAACUCACAAUUACUAACUUCUACUUUUAAAUAAGUUUUUGCAAGCCCCACCUAAGUGUCGUAAAACUUUAAUUUAGUUAUGUAUAUACUCAAAUUAAUUUGUAUAAAUGAUGAAUGAUAUUUUUCUGUAUCAAAAGUACACCUUAUAUAAUACAAUUGAAGAUAUACUAAAUAAACUACCUGAAAGUUAUAUCCUUUUAUUUUUAUAUAAUAAAUUCAAUAAUUAAGAAGUUUAGGACAAAUGGGAGUGGUGAACAGUUGUCGGAAAUCAGAAGCCCAUGUGCUCCUCCAUACUUUACCUAUGAUUCUGUGCAUCACCAAGGAUUCUUUCUUGAUUUUGUAGGAUUUUAUCACAAAACAUUCUUUAUUUUCUUUAUCUUUUUAUAUGAGAUUACUUCAUAAUUAACUAAUAGGAGAGAUAUAAACUAUAUUAGAGUAAUGGCUCGUUCGGUUAUCAAUAUAAGGUUCUAGUGAUUAAAUAGUAGGGGCUAAUAACAUGUCCGGUUGAUAAGAUUCACAUUUUUUCAAAUCAGCUACUAAAUUCAAAGUCCGUCAUUAAAUGCUACUAUUUCAUUGAAUUCGUAGCACCCACCCCCCUGAGAUUAAUUUAACAGGGGGUGACUACAAAAGAAAAAUACAAUUUUAUCCUUAAAAUUAUCCUUUAUUAUUGUAAACUAAGUGGUUUUAUAGACAAUUUAUAUAUAAUAACAGAUUUUAACAAAUUUAAUAGAAAAUAUAAUCUAAGAAACCGAACAUGCUACUAACUAAAUAAUUAAUUAGUCAGUAGGGAGUUAAUCCAAUCUAAUCCAAUAUAGGUACCCGAACGAGCCCUAACUAUGUGUGACAAGUUCGACCUAGCGACCGUGGAUAAGAGGAUUCGAAUUUGAGUCAAUUGACAAAAAACCCACUUGCUCCAACCGCUAGCUCAUCCCUUAUGCGACGAUCCCACAAUUUUACUUAAACAUGAUUUCUUCGUGAAGGUUUUGAUAUUAUACGCAACUACUACGCGAAGAUCCCGCAAUUUUACUUAAACACGAUUUCUUGGUGAGGUUUUGAUAUUAUACGCAACUACUACUAUCUGGUUUUGCUAUUCAAUAAAUCAAUCAUAAGUUCAUCAUAGCCUCAUUUAAUUCUCUUUUUGAUGGAGUAUAAUUGAAAUUAGUGAUGCUUAUAGUAUACUUAUAUGCUAGAUUAUCCCAAUUCAUAAAUAAUUUGACGUGAUGUAAAAGCAUAAUAAAAUUGACAAUAUAUUAAUUUUUCUUUUGAAUAUAAUUUGAUUGACUUAGAUCUUGUUCCUUUUUACGUCAAAUAAAUACUAUAUAAUAAAAUCGCAUACAAAAGUGGGGUUUGUACUUUGUAAUUUGUAAACCGAUCCUGAAAAUAGAUUGUCAGUUUUGUUAGCUAAUGCCUAAUACUUUAUUUAUGAUUUUUUACAAAAAAUACUUUUAUUUUUCUUAAAAUAAAGUAAAAAUUAGAAUUUAUUCUAAUAUAUAUUAUCUAACUCCACUUUAUCGUGAUAUUUAAGGAAUUUCACAAACAUAAAUUAAAAUUUUGAAUUUAUUUACAAACUCUAUAGUCAAUCUUUCACGACACCCAUAAUUUUUUAUUUUUUUGCAAAUAACAACUAAAAGAAAAACUAAUAUUUAUUAAUUUAAUAUUUCUACAUAAAUCAUCCAAGUACGAUUUUCUAAUUUGUAAACACAAGAUAUACUAGUUAAAAUAAAUAUUAAAUUUACCAACUUCACUUAAAAAUACUAACUAAUUAUUUCAAUUAAUUUGGUCAGAUAUUAAGUUAUCAAUAAGUUAAUAAUUGUUACUUUAUACAUUAAUUAAUUAAUGAAAAUAUUAUUAGAAUUAUCAUUUUCGAUAAAUACCAAAAAAAAAAAAAAAUUGGAUGAAUCGUCAGAUUGUGAAAUAGUUACUGAAUAUCUUUUGGACUACCCUGAAAAGAAUAACGCAACUUAGUGAUGGCAACAUGAGGAUUGAUAAAGACGAUAAAGUUGAAGAUGAUAGUUCUACUUUAAAGGCCGUUUUUCUGACGGAAGCUCUUAAAGCAACAAGAUUGUGCAUAUAUUUUUUUUAAGCUAUGAUAAAAGUAAAUCAAAAGUCCUUGCCAUAAUAAUGAAAAAAAACUAAUGGAUAAGAUUGGAGGUGAUAUUUUCAAAUUCAAAAAGGAACAAGAAAAGCAAAAAGGAAUUAUAUUUUAUCAAGUUUUUAUAGAUUUAUAAAUAUAUUUUAUGGGUAAAUUACAAACAACCCCCUGAGAUAUGGUCAAAUUACAAAAACACCCCUCUUGUUUGGAUAAUUACAACCACCCCCUCAACUUCUCAAAUUUAGUAAAAUCUUCGAGUUUAUAUGGAAUAUUAUCACUUUUGUACCCGUUUUAUCUCAUUCGAACUCUACAUUAUGAAGCAAGAUGAUCAUAAUAUGUGUUUUUCAGCUUAUAUAUAUCAGUUUGUGGUGCAUUGGAAACUGUAUUUUUACACAAAACGAAUACAAACUAGAGCACAUUCCACGGAAUUUAGAUGAUUGUGUUGAAUUUGGCACCAUAAGGGU